CUGUCGAACAUCCUCCUCUACGUUGUUUAUGGGAAUUUUCACUUUUCCGGCGGCGUGCGAGUUGGUGGUUGAAGAAAAAAAGUGAUCUGUUUUCAAACAACUUUUCAAGUUUAUCUGCAUCACGUUGCAGUCAGAAGAACCAAUGGAGAGCUCCGAGGGCACAUCGCGCGAUUCACCAGUCAUAAUGUUCCUGGGCCAUCAUUGGACCUGAAUAUUGCUGGAUUGAGCUAGUUCCCAUCAUAGCAACAAUACCUGAGACUUUGGGUCAAGAGCGAGCGUACAACAGUCACUAAAAUGUCCUGCCUGCCCUGUCCUCAGUUAUUUGAAGAUGAACAGGAGACGUUGUACGCCUACAUUCUGGAGUCACAUUAUAGAUCGUUGGCCAUCAGCGGGGGUGCCUUGAAACGUUGGCUCCACCAAUGGAAUGGCCAAUCUUGUGGCCAUAAGAUCAAGAUUCCAAUGCCAGACCACUUUUUUGAGUCCUCCGUCCAAGCAAGACUCAAAACAUUGACAGUGGACUAUAAAAUUUUCGGAAUAUUAAUUUUUAACGUAUUCGCGCCGCAUUUACGUUUAAAUUUAAAACUGUUGUCACUAUCGACUCUGGUACUCAUUUAUUAAAAAAACGGUCAGGAUUUU